ACAUACGACCAUAGGGUAUGGAAAAUAGGGCUUCCCGUCCGCUCAGCCGUACUCAAGCCACACGCCGGUGAGUUAGUAGUUGGGUGGGUGACCACCAGCGAAUCCUCACUGUUGUAUGUUU
rnacentral:rRNA from 1 species